rnacentral:tRNA from 6 species
GGGCUUAUAGCUCAGUUGGUUAGAGCGUCCCGUUCACAUCGGGAAGGUCUCAGGUUCGAAUCCUGAUAGGCCCA